AAUAGAUACCCUGGUAGUCCAUGCCGUAAACGUUGGGCACUAGGUGUGGGGCUCAUUCCACGAGUUCCGUGCCGCAGCAAACGCAUUAAGUGCCCCGCCUGGGGAGUACGGCCGCAAGGCUAAAACUCAAAGGAAUUGACGGGGGCCCGCACAAGCGGCGGAGCAUGCGGAUUAAUUCGAUGCAACGCGAAGAACCUUACCAAGGCUUGACAUGCACGGGAAGCCACCAGAGAUGGUGGUCUCUUUGGACACUCGUGCACAGGUGGUGCAUGGUUGUCGUCAGCUCGUGUCGUGAGAUGUUGGGUUAAGUCCCGCAACGAGCGCAACCCUCGUCCCAUGUUGCCAGCGGGUUAUGCCGGGGACUCAUGGGAGACUGCCGGGGUCAACUCGGAGGAAGGUGGGGAUGACGUCAAAUCAUCAUGCCCCUUAUGUCUUGGGCUUCACGCAUGUUACAAUGGCCGGUACAAAGGGCUGCGAUGCCGUAAGGUGGAGCGAAUCCCAAAAGCCGGUCUCAGUUCGGAUUGGGGU
rnacentral:rRNA from 1 species